UUUUCAAGCAAAACAACAAAUACACAUUAUAGCAUUCUAUUGGAAGGCUCUAGCGAGAAAGCACUUUGUACACUGCAAAGUCCUAUACAAUUUUAAGGGAUCAUUAUUCUUCCUUAUUACCAUUAUGACUAUUAAAAAAAAUUGGGGGCGUCUGGGUGGCUCAGUCAGUUAAGCAUCUGCCUUCAGCUCAGGUCAUGAUCCCAGGGUCCUGGGAUCGAGUCCCAUGUUGGGCUCCCAGCUGAGUGGGGAGCCUGCUUCUCCCUCUGACUCUGCUGCUCUCCCUGCUUGUGUUCUCUCUCUCUCUUUCAAAUAAAUAAAUAAAAUCUUAAAAAAGAAAUUAAACCUAUCUUCCAAGGGUAAAGAGGAGGCAGUUUAACCUAAGGACCAAGAACUGUCAACUUUGCCAGUAAUUGACUUUGCCAACCUUUGUUAGGGGUCAGUGUGUAACCUUCCUAAGAUUUUUUCUCAUCUGUAAAAUGGGGAUAACAGUAGCUAUUUUUAUAGCACUAUCAUGAAGAUCAAAUGAGAUAAUGUGUGGAAAACACUCGGGAAAUUGCUUGGCCCAUAAGAAUGGUGAUACCUAACCUUUAUCAAAUGCUGACUCUACCUGGCACUCUCUGAUUAUACAAUUAUAUAAGUAUGAUUAUUGGUCCCCAUUUUACAGAUGACGAUUUUAAGACAGAACCAGAAUUCAAGCCCAGGCAACCUCACUACAAGCCCAUGUUCUUAACCAUUUUGCAACACUAACUCUUACACAGUUAGUACUCAAUACAUGUUGCAGUAACAUAUUAAUUAGAUUGCCCACAAGAGCAGAUAUUCAAUAUCACAUGCUAAGUAAAUGCCACUGCUAUUGAUAUUCUGAAUUGACUCUCAACUACAACUCUACCUUUUACCUAAUUAGAGAGAUUGGAAAACUAUACAUGACAUUUUUCCAGAAUCCUUUGCAGCUUGGGUUAUAGAUAUAAAUUCUGCUUUACAAUUAGAUGCAUUUGUGAAUAACAUGGAAGGCAAAUGAGGGAAGCCAUCAUCCUGCUGCUAAGGCUGCUGGCAAAUAAGGUGUAGUGGGCAGACUCUCAGGUAACCCCAUGACCCCCCUUCCCUGGAGUAUGGGUGGUGGGACCUUCCAACCAACAGAAUAUGGCAAAGUGAUGGGAUUAUGUCUAUAUGAUUAUGUUGUAUAAGACUGCAGCAUCCAUCUUCCCAGGAGACACUCUCCUGCUUGCUUUGAAGAAGCAAAUGGUCAUGUAGCAAGGGGUUAAGAAUGGCUUCUAUCUAAUAACCAGCAGGAAACUGGGGCCCUUCCUCUGACAUCCUGGAAAGAACUAAAUACUGCCACAAUCAGGUGAGCUUGGGAAAAGAUCCUUCCCCAGUCAGGAGCCAGAUGAGACUGCAGCCCCAGUCAACACCGUGAUGGUGGCUUCAUGAGGCAUGACUCAGAGUAUCCAUCUAAGCUGUGCCUGGAUUCCUGACUGCAGAAACUGUGAGAUAAUAAAUGCCUGUUUUCAGCCACUAGGUUUGUGGUGAAAUUGUCAUGCAGCAAUACAAAACUAACACACAGGAUUAUAGAGACUGAAGGUGGGCGUGGCAGCUACAGUGGACUGAAUGCCCUUGAACUCAGUGGUCCAGGCCUGGCCCUUGACAUUCACUCUUUCAGCACUUCUGGUAAUUUUGUAUUUCCCUAACUGCCUGCAUUAAAUCACUUUCUUCUUGAAUUAUUGAAAGUGAUUUCUGCUUCCUGCACUGAAUCACCUUGCUUCAAAGCCAUGGCCCAUCUAUCCCAAUAUUUAAUUCUGUUGGUGACCCAAAACAUUUUAGAGGAGAACAGAGUAGCUUCCUUUCAAACUGUUAAGGGAAAAGGGAAAUGAUUAUAAUUGAGCAAUGCUAUUUCUUUGAAUAGCCACAACAAUUCUUUAAGGAAGACAAUAUUAAUCCCACUUUAUAAUAGAGAAAACUUAAGUUUAGACCCCAAGUGAUUAUCCAAGAUAACACAGUUUGUGACUAGCACACCUAUCAUGUAAUUCUAGGUCUAAUGGACACCUGACUGCACAUUCUUUCCACUGAACCAAGCUGUUAAGAAUUUCCUGGGUUCCUAUAUGUCCUUACACUCAUUCCUCAAAAUUCAGUUGCAUAUCUACCAUGUGUGCAGAGCUGUGCUAAGCACAGGGCCCAUUUAGGGCCUUGACCUGGUGGAGCUCACAAUCCACUAGGGCAGAUAAAUGAGAAAAUGUACCAUUACAAAGCAGUACAUCAAGUCCCAUGAUGGAGGCUGGCAUAGGAUACAGAGGGGACAGUGAAGAGGAACAUCAAGUAACCCAACAUGGGCGUCAGAGAAGGCUUCCAGGAGAAAGGGGCUCAGGGUGGCAUGGAAUAGUCCCCUCUGCAGGUUCCUUCAAGGAUCCCUAACAUAGUGGUAGAAAAUCCUGAGCAAUGUUAACAGGCAGGGACACUUGCAUUAAUGACCGUGUGACUUGGGGAGACCUCUGGCAGCCUUGACCAGACACAGAGCUGACCCUCCCUGGAGACCCCACACUUGUUCUCCAAGGCCUGCUGGUUGUCAUGCUCCAGCAGGCCACAGCCUUGUUUUAUUUAGUUGUUUGCUCUUUGGAAUGAAUAUGUUUCUCAUUAAUUGUGGUUUUCAAAAAAUUUAAAGCUUUUGAUUUAGUCUAAAGAUAGAUCUAGCUAACUUUCUUUAAGCUUACCCAGCUGUCCCAACAAUAUUUGAGAGUUUAAUUCUCAGGCAGAACUUAGAUUAAGGUGGAUGCAAGAAUAUAAAAGCUUUAAGGGCCCAUGGGCAAUUUUUUUGAACCCUUCUAAGCCUCCAUUUGGGUUACCAAUAAUUCCUACUUGUGAGUGUGACUGUUUAUGCGGACAGAAUACUAUAACAUGAAUGAUCCUGUCCCUAGUGUGCUUGCCCUUGACAAUGUUCCAUACCCUUUCCCUGCUUGACUAUGCACAGCUUGGGCUGCAGCCUAUAUUCCCGACUCCCAUAUCAGCUGGCUUCCCUCAGGUGUGAUCAGUGGGACAUGCUGAUAGAAGAUUAUAGGGUGGGAGGAACACAGAGGCAGGGGUGCUCCUCCUCCUUCCCUCUUUGGGUGAAUCUCUAGAGUAGCUGCUUCUCCUCCUUGGCUUCAGCCUCCUGCAGGAGGUGGUCUGGUUUCAGUGAGUGAGGCCAGCAUUCUGGCCCCAGGAACACCCUUCUCCCCUUUAGACAAAGAUGCCAGCCACUUCCUGCUGAGGCUGACCUCUGAGCUGCCUCAUCCCCUCCUGCUUGGUUUUUCCCAUCUUGUGUCUUCUCCAUAGCCAUUAUCUGGUCUUAGAUUCUCUCUGUUUUGAAUCCUUGGGGAAGUUCUAUUUUCUGGUUGGACUCUGACUACUGUGGUGAUUGAAAUGUGCUUGCCCAAUGGGAUCUAUUUUCUCAGUGAAUGAUUAGGCAAGAUAUCAAGUGAAAGGAGGGUAGUAGAGCUUACUAUGGAGAAGACUGGUUAUCGACGUUGGGGUUUCUUAACCCAAUGUCUACAAUAGGUGCUCAACAAAUGUGGCCAUGACAGGAGGAUUGUUCCCUUUCUGUUUACGGAGAGUAUAAUGGGAAACAUGCUCAUGACUGGAACAGAAGGGUAGAAAAUCUAAUGCUUUCUGCUGACAGUUGAUAACUUCCUCCAGUGCCCUGGAGCCUGGGUCCACCUACUGGGAAGAGCAGGCCCAGCCUCCCAGCACCCAGGCUGUAACCGCUGGAUGGCCUGGGAGGGCUGGUCCCUCUGCACACAGAGUCCCCCUAAUGAACGGAUUUUUCCACCCCCACAAUCUGGGGUGAGAGCUCCUCCUCCUCACCCUAAGAACAGAGGAACAAUGUUUCAAGAAUUUUUGCCACAGCUAUUCAACCAAGAUCUUGUUUUCACAUUCCUGCUGACAGCUUUGCAGGGCCACACCAAUCUGUUGUUUAUGUCCCGUGGCCAUCUUACUUUCAUUCCCAGUAAAACCCAAGUCAGAGGCCAUCCAGAACCCAUCCCACCCAGAAGCAGAAAGAGGUCAACACGGUCUGUGCCCCUGGGAAGGAGACUGGACAGUCACUGGAUGAGCUCCUGGCACAAGGGAGGGGGGACAAGAGGUGAGGUUCACGCAUCUUUGUAAUCAAGUGCCCGGAUGGUGCCUGGCACAUUGGGAAUGAAGGAGCGCAAACGCAGUCCCGAGAUGCAGACUCUGAAGUAAGCCUCCCUCUCUGCUCUCCUAAUACCACCGCAUCACCUGAGCUAUGACUGUGCCAGGCACCCUACACGCACCGCUGCUAAUCCUCACCACAGCCCUGUGAGGCACGGCUAUCAAGUCCAGUUUUCAGAUGAUGCAACCCAGGCUCAGAGAGGCUGCGGGAUCCGCCCGAGGCUGCACCGCUGGUCCGUGUCAGAAUUGGGAUCCAAAGCCACAUCCCUCAGCUUACAAAAACUUCAUGACAGUAGCCGCUCUUACCUGUGGUUUCACUUUCGGGGGCCUCAGUUACCCGCGGUCAACAGAGAUGGGGAGACCCGGAAGGGGAUCCUCCUCCUGGUCAGACGCCAGUGCGCAGUAGCCCCGGCGCGCUGCGUCAGCGCCUGGGCCUCCUUCACCUCACGGCUCGUCCUCACACGGCUCCGUGUCAUCUCACGUCACAACAAGGACCUCACCGAGGCAAUCACAUUUACAUGUGUACCCAAGUCUCGAGGGAACUGAGCCUCUACCUACUUGGCUGUAAGAAGACCACUCUUUGACAGAAACUCCUCUGAAACAUGUCUGCGAAGCUCCAGGGAUGUUUACACGUGUCCAAGAAUCAGUGCUGGUGGUUGCUUGACAAACAUGACAGCCGCCACCCAAGGCUGGAUGCUGCCAAGAAGGAAGAGGAAGCUCCUCAUAUAUCACCCUCAGCCAGGGGUCCACAGCUUCAGCCACGUAGAAUUGGUGAGUUUAGCAGAAGUUCAUACAUAUAUUCCCCUUCCAGCUGUGCAUUGCGAUGGGGUAGCCAAUAUCAACUAAUAAUGGAGAUCUGGAAAAAUGAUUGCCCUCUAACCCUGGGUGUGUUAGGAACCCCUCUUUCUCUGACGGAUGAUUCAAUUCAGGAGAAUCCAUAGUUCCUCUUGGCAAAAGUGGCUCUUAUCGGACAGUUCAUAUGCAUUAUAUUUAAACAUCACUGGCAAAUAGAAUUCAAGUCCCCCGUUCCUCUUUUAGUAAACUCUCCAGCCCUCUUGCAAAUCAGUGGAUAAAACCAGAUGUAUUUGAAAAGGAGCAGUGUCACUUUUUCUUUCUUUUGCCAGGAUUACCUGAAGUGGUUGCUCAGCCAAGAUUCCUUAUUAGAUUUCAAAUAUAGGAAAAAGAACCAGUAUUCAGCCAGUUAGCCAUAAGACCUCUAAUUAGAAUCAUAGAUUACUAGCUUUGAAGAGGGAAUUUACAGAUAACUUAGAUCAGUGGUUUUCAGUUUGUAAGUUAUAUACUUAGGUGUCUGUGGAUCAUAACAUUUUAAUCCAGAGGAUGCCAAACGUUGUCCAGAUCCUAAAUAAAUAGUACAUACAUAUUCCCUUCUCUACAUAUAAUACUAUUUUUCAAAUAUAUAUGCCAAUAUUGAGAUGAACUACAAAUGCGUGUCAACCUGUGAAUUCAUGACAGCUUUUAAUUUUAUGUAUUUCUUCAAACAACCAACAUAAAAAUCCACCUACAUUUAUAGGGAGAGAGCUUAUGAAAUUUUUUGAUCAAAAAAGGGCAUCCUCAUGUGAUACUUUCCUGUAGACCCAUAUUUCCUAGAAUCACCUGGGCUGCUUGUAAAAUGCACCCCAGAUCUGGGAAUCCAUAUCUGGCAGUAGGGCCCAGGAAUCUGCAUUUUAGGCACAUUCUCCCAACAAUUCACCUGCAUACUAAAGUGUGAGAACUUCAGCUCAGGUCCACCAACUUAUUUUAUGGGCAAGAGAAUUCAGGCUCAGAGGGGACGUGACAGGGCCAAGGUCAUAAAUUCUUCAUCAGUAGAACCAAUAGAACCUCAUCUAUCCUGUCUGUGUCUUGUCCUUCUCAGGCCCAGUAAGGGGCCAAGCAAGCUCCCAGGAAGGGUCCAGCUGACUAAGACCACAUAGCCUCAGCAUGGCGGCAUGACACUGCUGCCCUGGGUGAAACAGUUCUCUUUCCGAGGUUCUCGCUUCCUGACGCCCUCCCUCAUCCUGUUAUUGCUCAUGAAGCAUGAAGAGUAUUUAAAGAGAAAAAAAAAAUGUUUCAUUCAUAGCCUCUGAGAUGUCAAAAGGGGAAAUGACUUAUGUACAAAUGACAUAAAGCACAUAUUUUUCUUGCUCUGAGUUUACAUAUCCCAUAUGGGAUAAAAGGAAACCCAAUGUCACCACCAUACCAACCGCCUUGGAUGAGAAGAUUUCCGGACUUCAAGGAUAAAAUAACAAUCUGAACAAUGAGCGGUCAAAGGUGAGCUUCACCAAACUGGAGUGACCUUGAGCUUGAAUGGAUUCUUGAGGCAUUACCUACUUUCUGAAUUUUCUGAGUCUUGAAUGAUGGAAUUGGGAUAUGGUUAACAAUUGCUAGAAGACCAAGCUGGCUAAAUCUCUACCAAAAAUCUGUGCUCCUUCCUCCACUGUAUAAAGUUGUGGCUUCUCAACCAAGUGCUAAAUUUCCCAGGCUUCUAGCAUUAAGUGUGAUUGUAUAGAUAAAUUCUCAACAAUGGAACAUUAGUGGAAGUGAUGUGUUCAUGUCUUCUUUGGAGAAAUAGGAAUACAAAUCCUUGGCCUAUGAUUAUUUGGAUUGUUUGUCUUUUUCUUAUUGAGUUGUAAUAGUUAUUUAUAUAUUCUGGUUACUAGCCCUCUAUCACAUACAUGUAUGGUUUGCAAAUAUUUUCUCCCAUUUUGUAAAUUGUCUUCACACCUUCUUGAUAGUAUCCUAUGAAGCACAAAGUUUUUAACUGAUGAAGUACAAUUUUUCUAUUUUUUCUUUUGCUGCUUUUGGUGCAAUAGCUAAGAAACCAUUGUCUCAUUCAAGGUUAUGUACAUUUUCUUCUAAGACUUUCAUAGUUUUAACUUUUCCAUUUUGAAUUUUGAACCAUUUGAGUUCUUUUUUACAUAUGAUAUGAGGUAGGAGUCCAAGUUUAUUUUGCCUGUGGCUAUCCAGUUGUAUCAACACCAUUUGUUGGAAAGAUUAUUCUUUUCCUUAUUGAAUAUUUUGGCACCUUUGUCAAAGUCAGUUGAUCAGGGUUUAUUUCUGGACUUUCACUUCUAUUCUCUUGAUCUGUAUGUCUACCUUCUGCCAGUACCAUGCCGUCUUGAUUGCUAUAGCUUUGUAGUAAGUUCUGAAUUCAGGAAGUGUGAGCUCUUCAACUUUGUUUUUUUCGAGACUGCUUUGCCUUUCCUGGGUCCUUGCAUUUCUAUUUGAAUAUUAGGAUCAGCUUUAUCAAUAUCUGUAAAAAAUUAAAAAGGCAGCUAGAAUUUUAUUAGUAUUGUGUUGACUGUAUAGAUCAAUUUGGAGAGUAUUGCCAUUUUACCAAUAUUGUCUUCAAAUACAUAAACAUGGGAUGUCUUUCUGUUUAUUUAGAUUUUCUUUAAAUUUUUUUCAACAGGAGCGCCUGGGUGGCUCAGUCAGUUAAGCAUCUGCCUUCAGCUCAGGUCAUGAUGAUCCCAGAGUCCUGGGAUCGAUCCCCCUGCUCAGCAGGGAGUCUACUUCUUCCUCUCCCUCUGCUCCUCUUCCUGCUUGUGAUCUCUUUCUCUCUCUCUCAAAUAAGUAAAUAAAAUCUUAAAAAAUUCUUUCAGCAAUGUUUGAUAGUUUUUAGUGUGUAUUUCUUUCACUUUUUAAAUUAAAUUUAUUCAUAAGUAUUUUAUUCUUUUUGAUACUAUCAUAAACGGAUUUUUUUCAUAAUUUAACCUUCAGAUCAUUCACUGCUAGUAUAUGAAAAUAAAAUUGAUUUUGUACGUUGAUCUUAUAAACUGCCACCUUGUUGCUCUUGUUUAUUGUCUCUAAUAGGUUUUUUGUAAUAGAUUCCUUAGAAUUCUCUAUAUGCAAGUUCAUUUAAACUGUGAAUGAAGAUACUUUUACCUUUUUUUCUUUCUAACUUGGAUGCUUUUUAUUUGUUUUCCUUGCUUAAUUCUCAUGGCUAGACUCUCUAGUACAAUAUUGAGUAAGAGUGGACAACCUUGUCUUGUUCCUGUUCUUAGAGAGAAAGAUUUCAGUUUUUUACUAUUAAGUAUGAUGGUAGCUAUGGGUUUUUCAUAAAUGUCCUU